AGAGUUUGAUCCUGGCUCAGGACGAACGCUGGCGGCGCGCCUAACACAUGCAAGUCGAACGAGCGAGAGAGAGCUUGCUUUCUCGAGCGAGUGGCGAACGGGUGAGUAACGCGUGAGGAACCUGCCUCAAAGAGGGGGACAACAGUUGGAAACGACUGCUAAUACCGCAUAAGCCCACGGCUCGGCAUCGAGCAGAGGGAAAAGGAGCAAUCCGCUUUGAGAUGGCCUCGCGUCCGAUUAGCUAGUUGGUGAGGUAACGGCCCACCAAGGCGACGAUCGGUAGCCGGACUGAGAGGUUGAACGGCCACAUUGGGACUGAGACACGGCCCAGACUCCUACGGGAGGCAGCAGUGGGGAAUAUUGCACAAUGGGGGAAACCCUGAUGCAGCGACGCCGCGUGGAGGAAGAAGGUCUUCGGAUUGUAAACUCCUGUUGUUGAGGAAGAUAAUGACGGUACUCAACAAGGAAGUGACGGCUAACUACGUGCCAGCAGCCGCGGUAAAACGUAGGUCACAAGCGUUGUCCGGAAUUACUGGGUGUAAAGGGAGCGCAGGCGGGAAGACAAGUUGGAAGUGAAAUCCAUGGGCUCAACCCAUGAACUGCUUUCAAAACUGUUUUUCUUGAGUAGUGCAGAGGUAGGCGGAAUUCCCGGUGUAGCGGUGGAAUGCGUAGAUAUCGGGAGGAACACCAGUGGCGAAGGCGGCCUACUGGGCACCAACUGACGCUGAGGCUCGAAAGUGUGGGUAGCAAACAGGAUUAGAUACCCUGGUAGUCCACACCGUAAACGAUGAUUACUAGGUGUUGGAGGAUUGACCCCUUCAGUGCCGCAGUUAACACAAUAAGUAAUCCACCUGGGGAGUACGACCGCAAGGUUGAAACUCAAAGGAAUUGACGGGGGCCCGCACAAGCAGUGGAGUAUGUGGUUUAAUUCGACGCAACGCGAAGAACCUUACCAAGUCUUGACAUCCUGCGACGGCGCUGGAAACAGUGCUUUCCUUCGGGACGCAGAGACAGGUGGUGCAUGGUUGUCGUCAGCUCGUGUCGUGAGAUGUUGGGUUAAGUCCCGCAACGAGCGCAACCCUUA
rnacentral:rRNA from 1 species